CGUCCCCCUUCCCCGGCGCCUGGCAGCGCCUCUCCUUCCGCUUCAGGGCCUCCUGCUGCAGGCAUUCGUCGUCGUGGAUCUUCAUGCUCUCUGCCUUGUACAGGGAAUCCUUGUGCUACAUGCAUUGCCAGCAUCAGUAUAUCCAGAGGUUACCAUCUGCAUCGAGAGCACAUCCUUGCUCACAGAGAGAGGGGACCUGGAGAGGGGAGAUGCUAAGCAAUGGAAGAGCAGUCACCAGCCUCGUACUUGUCCCUACCUGA
rnacentral:lncRNA from 1 species